GACGAACGCUGGCGGCGUGCUUAACACAUGCAAGUCGAGCGGAGCGGCGAACGGGUGAGUAACGCGAGAGUAACUGCCCCCCUCUCUGGGAUAACAGUUGGAAACGGCUGCUAAUACCGGAUAGUGAGGGAUGACUCGCGUCCUAUCAGCUUGUGGGUAAGGUAACGGCUUACAAAGGCAACGAUGCAUAGCCGACCUGAGAGGGUGAUCGGCAACACGUGACUGAGACACGUUCCAGACUCCUACGGGAGGCAUCGGUGGAGAAUAGUGCACAAUGGGGGAAACCCUGAUGCAGCAACGCCGCGGGCGGGAUGACGGCCUGCGUGUUGUAAACCGCUUUCAGCCAUGACGCGGUAGUGGCAGAAGAAGCACCGGCUAACUACGUGCCAGCAGCCGCGGUAAUUC
rnacentral:rRNA from 1 species